UGGGGAAUAUUGGACAAUGGGCGAAAGCCUGAUCCAGCAAUGCCGCGUGAGUGAUGAAGGCCUUAGGGUUGUAAAGCUCUUUUACCCGGGAUGAUAAUGACAGUACCGGGAGAAUAAGCUCCGGCUAACUCCGUGCCAGCAGCCGCGGUAAUACGGAGGGAGCUAGCGUUAUUCGGAAUUACUGGGCGUAAAGCGCACGUAGGCGGCUUUGUAAGUUAGAGGUGAAAGCCUGGAGCUCAACUCCAGAAUUGCCUUUAAGACUGCAUCGCUUGAAUCCAGGAGAGGUGAGUGGAAUUCCGAGUGUAGAGGUGAAAUUCGUAGAUAUUCGGAAGAACACCAGUGGCGAAGGCGGCUCACUGGACUGGUAUUGACGCUGGAGGUGCGAAAGCGUGGGGAGCAAACAGGAUUAGAUACCCUGGUAGUCCACGCCGUAAACGAUGAUACUAGCUGUCGGGGCUCGUUAGAGC
rnacentral:rRNA from 1 species